UACAGAGGAGCCAAGCGUUGUCCGGAUUGACUGGGCGUAAAGCGCACGCAGGCGGACGCGCGCGUGGGGUGUAAAAUCUGGCCGCUUAACGGCCAGGCGCCAUCCCAUACGGCGCGUCUGGAGCAAUGCAGAGGUCGGUGGAAUUGCCGGUGUAGUGGUGAAAUGCGUAGAGAUCGGCAGGAACACCCAGGGGGAAACCAGC
rnacentral:rRNA from 1 species